CCUACGGGUGGCAGCAGUGGGGAAUAUUGCGCAAUGGGCGAAAGCCUGACGCAGCGACGCCGCGUUAGGGAUGAAGGUCUUCGGAUCGUACACCUCUGUCAGCAGGGACGAACGGUCACUGUGCUAAUCAGCAGUGAAUUGACGGUACCUGCAAAGGAAGCACCGGCUAACUCCGUGCCAGCAGCCGCGGUAAUACGGAGGGUGCGAGCGUUAAUCGGAAUUAAUGGGCGUAAAGCGCUCGUAGGCGGUAUGUCAAGUCAAGGGUGAAAUCCCCGCGCGCAACGUGGGAACUGCCUGUGAAACGGGCAAACUGGAGUGUGUGAGAGGAGAGUGGAAUUCCAGGGGGAGGAGUGAAAUCCGUAGAUAUCUGGAGGAACAUCAGUGGAGAAGGCGACUAUCUGGCACAUAACUGACGCUGAGGAGCGAAAGCGUGGGUAGCAAACAGGAUUAGAUACCCGGGUAGUC
rnacentral:rRNA from 1 species